rnacentral:rRNA from 1 species
UACGUAGGGUGCGAGCGUUAAUCGGAAUUACUGGGCGUAAAGCGUGCGCAGGCGGUUAUAUAAGACAGUUGUGAAAUCCCCGGGCUCAACCUGGGAAUUGCAUCUGUGACUGUAUAGCUAGAGUGCGGCAGAGGGGGGUAGAAUUCCACGUGUAGCAGUGAAAUGCGUAGAUAUGUGGAGGAAUACUGAUGGCGAAGGCAGCCCCCUGGGUCGACACUGACGCUCAUGCACGAAAGCGUGGGUAGCAAACAGG